AACGAACGCUGGCGGCAUGCCUAACACAUGCAUGUCGAACGAGACCUUCGGGUCUAGUGGCGCACGGGUGCGUAACGCGUGGGAACCUGCCCUUAGGUUCGGAAUAACUCCCCGAAGGGGGUGCUAAUACCGGAUAAUGUCUUCGGACCAAAGAUUUAUCGCCUUUGGAUGGGCCCGCGUUGGAUUAGCUAGUUGGUAGGGUAAAAGCCUACCAAGGCGACGAUCCAUAGCUGGUCUGAGAGGAUGAUCAGCCACACUGGGACUGAGACACGGCCCAGACUCCUACGGGAGGCAGCAGUGGGGAAUAUUGGACAAUGGGCGAAAGCCUGAUCCAGCAAUGCCGCGUGAGUGAUGAAGGCCUUAGGGUUGUAAAGCUCUUUUACCCGGGAUGAUAAUGACAGUACCGGGAGAAUAAGCUCCGGCUAACUCCGUG
rnacentral:rRNA from 1 species